GCGCGAUGAUGACGUCAAACGCAAUGGCUCCCGCGGGUUGUGGUCGGAGCGCUGGCGGGGGCGGGAUCGUGACGUUAAGGGCGGUGCCCAGUCAGCGAGGUCCAGGGACGUGAAGCCGGAAAGCCAGGCGCCCUUCUUGACUGCGCCUAGGUGGAACUGGCCCUCCAGCAGCUUGAACGUAGCCUCUUUUCACACUGGUAGUUCCUGAACCUCUUGUGAAAUGAAAGAUGUUCCUCAUUCCAAGCUGAGGACGGAGAAAAGCCGUAAAGCUGACACUGGAGCUAGAAUGACUUGUCAGCCACCUUUGAGCAAGAACUUGCCUGGAGUCCAAAUGUAUGGCUAUUGAAGGAUAGUAAGCAGACAGCACUAAAAGUCAUCCAUUCGUUAUGGAUUUAGUCUUAAGACCCUCAUUUGAGAGAUGCCUUCCCUGUACCUGGAGGAAAGAAACAUCUUUAUCUCUGAAGACACAGGGCCACAGAGAAGAGUCUGAACAAACAGGCUUUACCAAUUUCCCCCAGUUGUUACCGUUAGAUCAGACCUUUGUCCAGUCAUAUCCUUCCACAAGUUGUCCACUCAUCAACCCUAAGCAUAAAAAUGCACAAGUUUCCUUGUUUGUUUGGGUCUUCAUUUCCAAGGGCUCCUAUGUCAUGUUAAACUUUUAAAUAAAUUUGCAUGCUUUUCUCUUGUGAAU
rnacentral:lncRNA from 1 species